CGUGACCUACGGGGGGCAGCAGUAGGGAAUCUUCGGCAAUGGGCGAAAGCUUGACCGAGCAACGCCGCGUGAAUGAAGAAGGCCUUCGGGUUGUAAAAUUCUGUUAUAAGGGAAGAAAGGUGAUAGGAGGAAAUGACUAUCAAUUGACGGUACCUUAUGAGAAAGCCACGGCUAACUACGUGCCAGCAGCCGCGGUAAUACGUAGGUGGCAAGCGUAAUCCGGAUUUAUUGGGCGUAAAGAGCGCGCAGGUGGUUCAUUA
rnacentral:rRNA from 1 species